AGACGUAGGUAGCAAGCGUUGUCCGGAAUAACUGGGCGUAAAGGGUGCGUAGGCGGUUAUUUAAGUCCGAUGUGAAAGCCCGUGGCUCAACCACGGAAUUGCAUCGGAUACUGGGUGACUAGAGUGCGGAAGAGGUUGACGGAAUUACUAGUGUAGCGGUAGAAUGCGUAGAUAUUAGUAAGAAGACCGGUGGCGAAGGCGGUCAACUGGGACGUAACUGACGCUGAGGCACGAAAGCGUGGGGAGC
rnacentral:rRNA from 1 species